rnacentral:tRNA from 1 species
CCUUCGAUAGCUCAGUUGGUAGAGCGGUGGACUGUAGAGAAUGAGCGAACGAAGAAAGUGCAACGUGAUGCGAUCUCACGGAACGGGGUGGUGCAUUCGUGCUGUAGAAAUCCAUAGGUCACUGGUUCAAAUCCGGUUCGAAGGA